rnacentral:lncRNA from 10 species
AUCAUCAGAGAAAUGCAAAUCAAAACUACAAUGAGAUAUCAUCUCACCCCAGUUAAAUGGCUUAUGCUCAAAAGACAGGCAAUAAUAAAUGUUGGCGAGGAUGUGGGAAAAAAGGGAACCCUCAUAUACUGUUGGAAGGGAUGUAAAUUAAUAUAGCCACUAUGGAAAACACUUUGGAGGUUCUUCAAGAAACUAAAAAUAGAGUUACCAUAUGAUCCAGCAAUCCCACUGCUGGCUAUAUACCCAAAAGAGACGAAAUCAGUAUGUCGAAGAGAUAUCUGCACUUGCAUGUUGGUUUGCAAUAGCCAAGAUUUGGAAGUAACCUAAGUGUCCAUCAACAGAUGAAUGGAUAAAGAAAAUGUGGUACAUAUACACAAUGGAGUACUAUUCAACCAUAAAGGAAGAAUGAGAUCCUGUCAUUUGCAACAACAUAGAUGGAACUGGGGACCAUUAUGUUAAGUGAAAUAAGCCAGGCACAGAAAGACAAACAUCGCAUGUUCUCACUUAUUUGUAGGAUCUAAAAAUCAAAGCAAUAGAACUCAUGGAUAUAGAGAGGAGGGAAGGUUACCAGAGGCUGGGAAGCACAGUGAGGUGGUGGAGAUAGUUAAAGGGUAAGAAAAAUAAAAAACAAAAAAAAAUAGAAAAAAUGAAUAAGACCUACCAUUUGACGCCAUAACAUGGUGAGUAUAGUCAAUAACAACUUAUUUGUGCACUUUAAAAGAGUUUGUAACACAAAAGAUAAAUGCUUAUGGGUAUGGAUACCCCAUUCUCCAUGAUUUAAUUAUUAAGUUUUGCAUGCCUGUAUCAAAACAUGUACCCCAUAAAUAUUAACACAUAUUAUGUGCCCACAAAAAUUAAAAAUAAAAAUUAUAUAUAUAUAUAUAUAUAUAUGGACUCACAAGUUUAUAAAAGACAGUUGGAUCCAAAUCAUGUUUCUGAAAAAAUCAGAUAAGGCUAACCUUUAAGACUUUUUAAAUAGGUAAUAAUAUGAAGGUGGAGAACCAAAUUUUGCGUAGAGCAGUUUAAGUCAAUUACCAGAUUGGACAAAUAAAAAUUAGCUGUGAAACUGUGACUGGAUUAUGUCAGAGGCCCAAAAGAUAAGAGUUAUUCUAACAAGGUCUGCACAGCAUAUUAUUUGUCCUUGAAGAUGAGAAUGCUGCCAUUCCUCAACCUUUUUGUAGUUCAUGAUGAUUGCGUGCUCACACAGGUGUGUGAGAUGUGCCACCCGUUGCCAGUCUGAGGUUUUAAAAAAAAAAAUGUUGCCAUUCCUUUUAGUAUAGGGAAGACUUCCUUUAUAUGGGAAUUCCAUCUUUUGUUCUUAAGAAACAGCACAAGGGUCAAAAUGAUUUUCUUUUGAAUCUGUUGGUUUUCUUGUGUUGUUACUUAAAUAGUAUGUCACAAUAGCUGAGGAGUUUUGGAAGAAACAGUUUAGUUUAGAGAAGGAUAGAAGCAAUUGUAGAAAAAGAUCCUGAAAAAAAAAGUCUCUGCCAGUUUUGUGCCAGUGUUUUAUAAAAAGGCAAUCUUUGAGUCAUGAGAAUUUUUUGAGCCUCAAGAUAUCAAUUGAGAUAUAAGUAUUAUUUGAAGUGUAUGAUUUUAUUGCUGGUGUCUUAGUUUAGUUUGAAGAAUAAUAGACUGUCUGAAUGAUCCCAUAAUGUUUCAACAUGUUACCAGCUGGAGUCCCAGAUAAUAUUUUGGCAUGCUGUGAAACUCUGACUUCCCAUUUCUAACUAAAUUGAUCUAGAUGAUUCAUUUUAUUGCCAAAUGCACAAAAACAAAUUAAAACACAAGGACUGAAUACACCAAAGCCACACAGACAGAAAAUAAAAUACAUACUUACCAAGAAGGACAAUAAGCCGCCUUCUCCAAAUAAGGGGAAAUCCCUACACCUAAACCUCCCAGCUGAGACUGACAGGAAGAUGAUGACCCCUCCCAGCAGGAGAGCUCCCAAACAGAGGAGGAAAGAUGCCUCUCGGAAAAAAAGCGGGGAAGGCUCUCUUCAACCAAAUUCCAAAUAAAACACCAUUUGACCAAAGUCAGAAGUCUGGUCAAAGAGAGACUCACCAAAGGGAAAAGAGGCAGCUUAGGGAAGCAGGAGGCUCCAGGGGUUCGAGUGUAGGCACAUCUCAUCAUAGUCCAGAGGCUGGGAUUUUCCCCAAGGCAAGGCAGCUUUGGAUCCAUGCUUCUGACACCAAGUAUGUUUAAGUCAAAUAUUAUAGACAGAUGAAUCUCUAAGGUUAAAACGUUUUAUUAGGGAAGCAAUAAUCACAAUUCGGGGCAUACACAUAGACCAGGUGGUCUUUGGUAUGUGAGAUGAACAAAGAGAAGGUUGAAAGUUUUAUCAGAAAGAGAAAUGUUGACCAGGCAUGGUGUCUCAUGCAUGUAAUCCCAGAACUUUGGGAGGCUGAGGCGGGCAGAUCACGAGGUCAGGAGAUCCAGACCACCCUGGCUAAUACGGUGAAACCCCGUCCCUACUAAAAACACAGAAAAUGAGCCGGGCUUGGUAGCGGGUCGCCUGUAGUCCCAG